ACAUAGCCUUGCCAAGCCCUGACUCACUUCCGCUCUCGCCUCACUCCUCUUCAGCUCUGUCGCGCAGUCUCGGCCGCCCUGUCGCUCUUGCUCCCGUUCACAUCCGUGUUGCCCUUGACAGCUGUCGGCGUUGCGGAUCCGCCAAAAUGGCGUGCAGCAUCGGCAUGGUCCUCUACGUCAUCCUCCAGCUCAUCGCGUUCUUUUUCGUGCUGGUGGGUACGCCGAUCGACAUGUUUCGCGGCACGAUUGCCGAAAUUGCAUUCUCGCAUUUCUGCUUGACGUUGUGGGGCGCAAAAUGGGGUUGCUCCAACAGCUCGUACUUUCUCACGUCGGACCAGUUGUGGGCAAAUUGCACGGGCCGCCGCAACCGUUUCCGCGCUGCCCAGGCGUCGGCUGUCAUCUCCAUCUUUCUGUACGGCGCGGCGUUCGUCUUGGGCGUCCUUCUGCUGUUCUGCUGCUCGAUCUUCCGCUGGGUGUGCCUGGUUCUCAACAUCGUUGGCAUCUUCACCUUGGGCAUUGUCUGGGCGUCCAUGGUGGUGACGUUCUACACGGAUGAAGGCGUAACCUGCGAGCGGCUGAUUAUUGGCACAAGGUAUGGAGCCGGCUUCGUUCUCUUCUUGGUGGCCUGGUGCCUGGAUAUCAUCAACAUCUUCUUCUUGCUGCUCCCGUGCGACGAUCAGAAGCUUGUUUCGACCGCGAAUCCGGGGGUAUAUACAAGAGGCGGGGAGGAAGUGAAGUGAAGGAGGCGGUGGGCAAGCUACUUCGGCUCCGCCGGCUUCUCCCCACAGACACCGUCGUGGGGGAUCCGGCGGAGCUGAUGUCUGCGCGAGAAGGGAGGGAAGACGCGGACUCUCGUCGCUGCUUCUCGCCGGCUCACCUCUCGCGCUGCCGUCUCUCGCGUGUGUGCGUCCUCCCACGCGCGUCUGCUUGGGGGGCUUUUCGGCUUCCUCGCGUGCAAGGUAACCUGCGCUGUGUGGUGGGCAACGCACGCCUGGCGCCGGCAGGCCCACCCACGCCCCGUUUCCCUCCCCCUGAGCCCCUCGCCCUCGCUGCCGUGUCGGAGUCGCCCGUCUGACGCUCGCCCGGCGCUCCGUUGGCGAUGUGAAGGAGCGAAGGACGACGCGGGACGGUGACACGUGCGCUGCAGGCCUGGAAACGGCGGCGUGGAGGGGGAGCGAAGGAGGGGCAGGUGACCGAGGUGGACACGGAGGACAAACGUGGCGGUGUGGAGAAACGGACGCCCUCGCACGGAGGACGGGAGGCGCCACGCCACGCCGCAUCGAUCACCCGCCCCCGCCCCCCUCCACACCCCUCGACACACACGCACGCGCAUAUGCUGCCGUUUUUUUCGUUUCUCUGUUCGUGCUAUCGCUUGAUUUGACGUUCGCAUGUUUCUUUCGAUUUCUCUCGUUUUCGUCUCUCUCCCUAUGCAGAGAAGAGCCGCAUGGACGUGUGCGUGUGCGUGCCGCCCUGCCAUUUUCCCGUUGUGUCUCCGUGCCGCUGCCCUGCACUUCGUCUUCCCCGCCCCCUCCCUGCGCGCGUGUGUGUGCGAGGGCGGCUGAUCGAGGGGACGACGAGGUGGAGAGCAGCCGCGGCACCGCAGCGCUGGGGAUACAUGGGCAGUGUGCAGGAGCAGCGGAGGAGAGGCACGCACACGCACUCUGGCAAGGAAGUAGUGGUGCGGAGGCCGCAGGGGAAUACGCAGCGGAGCGAGUGGGUACGGAGGCGGAGCGGAGGCGAGGCAGUGUUGCUUCUCUGUUCGCCCCGCUUGCGUUGGACUCGAGUGUGUCUGCGUAUGCGCCCCCUGCGGCCCUCGGGCCCCUCGCCUCUCUUGCGCGCUUCGCUUCGUUUGUUUCGUUGCUGUGGCUGUCUAACUACACUUUCGAGUCGGCCAGAGUCGCGUGUGGAGAUUAUUCACACCAUAUUACGGCAUGCGGCGGCUUGAGGCAACCGAGGGAGGGGCAUGGCGUGCAGGCGGAGGACAGGGUCUCACAAGGCCCUGGCCUGCGGCUGGCCCACCUCCUCUCUGUGCUCAUGUGGUCCGCGCCUGUACCAGCCCCUGCGGCCUGCACGGCUGGCGUCGCCGCUUCCGCCCUCGAGCAGGACCCUGCACCCGCGUCCGUGUGGCGCCGGUCGCGCUGCACGCGUGCGAGGAAUGGAGGAGGAAGGACGAGGUGGCGGCCCGCUAGCGACAUGGCCCGACUCGACGGCUGAACGGCUCGUCGUGGACGGCGCGGAUGUGGCCGCCGUGCGACAGGGGUGGGUGGGCCGCGGCUGUAUGCGUGCACCUGUGGACUCGGUCGUGGUGGAGUGAGACGCUGGUAAUGCAGCGCUUAGUUUUCCCUGGCAAACACGCGUAGCAGAAACUAAUAAGUGCAGCGGCAUGGCGACGAGUAUACAUAUACACUAUACACAUAUGUCUAUCUGUAUCUAGAGCGCUGCACCGUCAAUCCAUCAAAACGCCACGCACUUUGUUUUCCCCGCCGACCACCGCCCCCUGUGCUCGCCCGAGCGGGCGGAGCGCGUGCGCGUGCGUCCCUCUCUCCUCGCGCUUCCGCGUUACUUGCUUUUUGCUUUCUGUCAUUAUUGUCUCCGUUCCUCGACUG
rnacentral:misc_RNA from 1 species